CCUGCCCUCGAGGAGCUCACAGUCUAGUACGUCUCAUCCCCUACUAGACUGAAGCUCCUUGAGGACAGG
rfam:Sus scrofa isolate TJ Tabasco breed Duroc chromosome 4, whole genome shotgun sequence.